rnacentral:rRNA from 1 species
GAUGAACGCUAGCGGCAGGCUUAACACAUGCAAGUCGAGGGGUAUAGUUCUUCGGAAUUAGAGACCGGCGCACGGGUGCGUAACGCGUAUGCAAUCUACCUUUCACAGAGGGAUAGCCCCAGAGAAAUUUGGAUUAAUACCUCAUAGUAUAGCAGUUUCGCAUGAAACCACUAUUAAAGUCACAACGGUGAAAGAUGAGCAUGCGUCCCAUUAGCUAGUUGGUAAGGUAACGGCUUACCAAGGCAACGAUGGGUAGGGGUCCUGAGAGGGAGAUCCCCCACACUGGUACUGAGACACGGACCAGACUCCUACGGGAGGCAGCAGUGAGGAAUAUGGACAAUGGGCGCAAGCCUGAUCCAGCCAUGCCGCGUGCAGGAUGACGGUCCUAUGGAUUGUAAACUGCUUUUA